rnacentral:lncRNA from 1 species
AGAUUGGAGUUGAAGAUUAUAUCCGGGAUGAGGUCCUCAGGAUUGUCUUCUGAUCAUGUGUCACCUUAGACUUUGGCGAGGCCAACAGAAGUCGUUAUGGGUUUCUUCGGAGGAAGAAAUGCACAUGUUACCUUCCUUUCGUGAAGGUGUACCCUCUGAUAUGUCGCCAUCAGAGUGGUGUUUUGGUGUUAUUUCCGGCGUUG